rnacentral:rRNA from 1 species
UGGCUGGCGGCAUGCUCUACACAUUUCAAGUCGAACGGCAGCACGGGUGCUUGCACCUGGUGGCGAGUGGCGAACGGUGAGUAAUACAUCGGAACGUACCUUAUCGUGGGGGAUAACGCAGCGAAAGUUGCGCUAAUACCGCAUACGCCCUGAGGGGGAAAGCGGGGGACCGUAAGGCCUCGCGCGAUUAGAGCGGCCGAUGUCUGAUUAGCUUGUUGGUGAGGUAAAAGCUCACCAAGGCGAUGAUCAGUAGCUGGUCUGAGAGGACGAUCAGCCACACUGGGACUGAGACACGGCCCAGACUCCUACGGGAGGCAGCAGUGGGGAAUUUUGGACAAUGGGGGCAACCCUGAUCCAGCAAUGCCGCGUGAGUGAAGAAGGCCUUCGGGUUGUAAAGCUCUUUUGUCAGGGAAGAAACAGCAGCUCUAACACAGUCUGCGAAUGACGGUACCUGAAGAAUAAGCACCGGAUAACUACGUGCCAGCAGCCGCGGUAAUACGUAGGGUGCGAGCGUUAAUCGGAAUUACUGGGCGUAAAGCGUGCGCAGGCGGUUAUACAAGACAGGCGUGAAAUCCCCGGGACU